GAUGAACGCUGGCGGCGUGCCUAAUACAUGCAAGUCGAGCGAACGGACGAGAAGCUUGCUUCUCUGAUGUUAGCGGCGGACGGGUGAGUAACACGUGUAUAACCUACCUAUAAGACUGGGAUAACUUCGGGAAACCGGAGCUAAUACCGGAUAAUAUUUUGAACCGCAUGGUUCAAAAGUGAAAGACGGUCUUGCUGUCACUUAUAGAUGGAUCCGCGCUGCAUUAGCUAGUUGGUAAGGUAACGGCUUACCAAGGCAACGAUGCAUAGCCGACCUGAGAGGGUGAUCGGCCACACUGGAACUGAGACACGGUCCAGACUCCUAAGGGAGGCAGCAGUAGGGAAUCUUCCGCAAUGGGCGAAAGCCUGACGGAGCAACGCCGCGUGAGUGAUGAAGGUCUUCGGAUCGUAAAACUCUGUUAUUAGGGAAGAACAUAUGUGUAAGUAACUGUGCACAUCUUGACGGUACCUAAUCAGAAAGCCACGGCUAACUACGUG
rnacentral:rRNA from 1 species